rnacentral:misc_RNA from 1 species
GAUGAAGAACGCAGCGAAAUGCGAUAAGUAGUGUGAAUUGCAGAAUUCAGUGAAUCAUCGAAUCUUUGAACGCACAUUGCGCCUUCUAGUAUUCUGGGAGGCAUGCCUGUUUGAGCGUCAUUAAACCUCUCUCAAGUAUGAUUACUUGGAUGUGAAGGAAGAGUACCUUAAACUUAAGGAGUGUUCUCCUUUGAAAUUGAUUAGCAGAUGGUAAUGUUAUUAAAUCCCUGAUGUUGUAAGGAAUAACAGUGGUUUUGUAGACUAUUAUCUAGCUUUAAAUUAUAAUUUUUAUUAUGGUUGACCUCAAAUCAGGUAAGGAUACCCGCUGAACUUAAGCAUAUCAAUAAGCGGAGGA